rnacentral:misc_RNA from 1 species
GUGAAUCAUCGAAUUUUUGAACGCAUAUUGCGCUCUCUGGUACUCCGGAGAGCAUGCCUGUUUGAGGGUAAUUAAUUAAAUCAUUGACCGUUAUGGGUCAAGGGUUAUGGUCACUCCGCGGUUUAACGUGGUGGCCUAAAAUGUAUGGUCGGUCUCAUCAGGUUGAGAUGUGUAAGAAUUUUUAUUUCGCAAACCAUUUAAUGGGCUACGAAGUG